UACGUAGGGGGCAAGCGUUAUCCGGAAUUACUGGGUGUAAAGGGUGCGUAGGCGGUAAAGUAAGUUAGGUGUGAAAGCCCGGGGCUCAACCUCGGGACUGCACUUAAAACUGCUUUACUAGAAUACAGGAGAGGUAAGUGGAAUUCCUAGUGUAGCGGUGAAAUGCGUAGAUAUUAGGAGGAACACCAGUGGCGAAGGCGACUUACUGGACUGUGAUUGACGCUGAGGCACGAAAGCGUGGGGAGCGAACAGGAUUAGAUACCCCCGUAGUCC
rnacentral:rRNA from 1 species